CGAGUGGGCGGGACACCAGCCACCGAGAGGCGCCUCUGUAAUUCCGUAGCUCUCCCUGCAGAGCUAAUGCGUAUUCGAAUGGCCCAAAUAAACCAGACAUUUCCUCUACUGUGGGCGCUCGGGGAGCGUCACUCCAUUACUGAGCAGGAGACCCAGAAUCUUUGCUGACGUCCAGCGACGCCAGAUUUGCCGUGACACCCCUGUUCUCUGUCAUUUGCUGAGCCACGUAAAUCACCGAACGCCUAUUUUUGCUCAGAGUCCAGCUUCCCCCACAGCUAACGCAUCACUCCGCACACACUCACGCCCGGUGCCCCCGACGCCUCUGGAUUUGAGUUUCGUUCUCCGUAAUUUCUCAAAACGGAAGUGAUGAGGCCGGAAGGGGCUUACUCGUAUUUGAUAAGGCGACUCCCCUGAAUGAGCUGGGCGACUUCGUUUGUGGCGUGGCAGGCGAAGAGAAGCCAGUUUCGAGGCUGCACCUUGUAGGCAAAUCUCAUGAACGUCAAGGAGUAA